rnacentral:rRNA from 1 species
UAGGGAAUAUUGCAAAAUGGGCGAAAGCCCGAUGCAGCAACGCCGCGUGGGCGAUGAAGGCCUUCGGGUCGUAAAGCCCUUUUUGAGGGGAUGAGGAAGGACAGUACCCUCAGAAUAAGCCUCGGCUAACUACGUGCCAGCGGCCGCGGUAAAACGUAGGAGGCGAGCGUUAUCCGGAUUUACUGGGCGUAAAGCGCGUGCAGGCGGAUUGGAGAGUUGGAUGUGAAAGCUCCCGGCUUAACUGGGAGAGGUCGUUCAAUACUUCCAGUCUUGAGUGCAGUAGAGGGAAGUGGAAUUCCGGGUGUAGUGGUGAAAUGCGUAGAUAUCCGGAGGAACACCAGUGGCGAAAGCGGCUUCCUGGACUGUAACUGACGCUCAGACGCGAAAGCUAGGGUAGCAAACG